UUACACCUGGUGCCCGGACUGGACGGGGAAGCGCCUGCACCGUCUGUGGAGCACAUCCAGUGCCAGCGCUACCCCAGGGGCCACGGCCUGCAGGGACAUCCCCUUCAAGAUGGACGAGGACCUCGUGCGGGAUCGGCUCCUCUCCUGGCAGCAGGUCUGCAGAGGCUGCCAGCACCUCAUGCCAUGGAAACGGCUCCGCUCGGCCUGCCAGGCUGGGAGGGCUGGAGGGCGGCGGGUGUUCAUUUGCUGUCAGAAAUAAAUCGUUCUAUUUUUUUGUCAUCGUCAUGAUCAGAGCAUUUCUUUCAUCCUUUUCCAAGCUUUUGGCCUCCCUUCCUCCAGGGCUUCAGCAGCUCGCUCAGCUCAGAGGAGCUCUCAGAGGAGAAAACGCUGCCUGGCGUGGGGCUGGCUGAUCCCUGUCUCAUCUUGAUU